rnacentral:rRNA from 1 species
GACGAACGCUGGCGGCGUGCCUAAUACAUGCAAGUGGAACGCUGAAGGAGGAGCUUGCUUCUCUGGAUGAGUUGCGAACGGGUGAGUAACGCGUAGGUAACCUGCCUGGUAGCGGGGGAUAACUAUUGGAAACGAUAGCUAAUACCGCAUAAUAGCAGUUGUUGCAUGAUAACUGUUUGAAAGGUGCAAUUGCACCACUACCAGAUGGACCUGCGUUGUAUUAGCUAGUUGGUGGGGUAACGGCUCACCAAGGCGACGAUACAUAGCCGACCUGAGAGGGUGAUCGGCCACACUGGGACUGAGACACGGCCCAGACUCCUACGGGAGGCAGCAGUAGGGAAUCUUCGGCAAUGGACGGAAGUCUGACCGAGCAACGCCGCGUGAGUGAAGAAGGUUUUCGGAUCGUAAAGCUCUGUUGUAAGAGAAGAACGAGUGUGAGAGUGGAAAGUUCACACUGUGACGGUAUCUGACCAGAAAGGGACGGCUAACUACGUG